AUCAUUACUGAGUGUAAAAACUCCAAACCAUUGUGAACGUACCAAUGUUGCUUCGGCGGCCUCGUCCCGCGGCGCGCCCAGCGUGACCCGGCCCAAGGCGACCGCCGGAGGCACCAAACUCUUGUCUUUAUAGUGGAUUUCUGAGUGGCAUAAGCAAAUAAAUCAAAACUUUCAGCAACGGAUCUCUUGGCUCCAGCAUCGAUGAAGAACGCAGCGAAACGCGAUAUGUAAUGUGAAUUGCAGAAUUCAGUGAAUCAUCGAAUCUUUGAACGCACAUGGCGCCUUCUAGUAUCCUGGGAGGCAUGCCUGUCCGAGCGUCGUUUCAACCCUCGAGCCCCCCGUGGCCCGGCGUUGGGGAUCUGCCACGGCAGGCCCCGAAAUACAGUGGCGGACCCGCUGGGCCCUCUCCUUGCGUAGUAGCAUCAGCCUCGCAUCGGGAGCCCGCGUGGCAUCCGGCCCCUAAACCCCCCCCGCAAGCCCGCCCCCGGCGGCACCAAGGUUGACCUCGGAUCAGGUAGGAAUACCCGCUGAACUUAAGCAUAUCAAUAAGCGGAGGA
rnacentral:rRNA from 1 species